GAUGAACGCUGGCUACAGGCUUAACACAUGCAAGUCGAGGGGAAACGACGGGGAAGCUUGCUUCCCCGGGCGUCGACCGGCGCACGGGUGAGUAACGCGUAUCCAACCUGCCUCUGACUGAGGGAUAACCCGUCGAAAGUCGGCCUAAUACCUCAUGGCAUCGUCUGCGGGCAUCCAACGACGAUUAAAGAUUUCAUCGGUCAGGGAUGGGGAUGCGUCUGAUUAGCUUGUUGGCGGGGUAACGGCCCACCAAGGCGACGAUCAGUAGGGGUUCUGAGAGGAAGGUCCCCCACAUUGGAACUGAGACACGGUCCAAUCUCCUACGGGAGGCAGCAGUGAGGAAUAUUGGUCAAUGGGCGGGAGCCUGAACCAGCCAAGUAGCGUGCAGGAUGACGGCCCUAUGGGUUGUAAACUGCUUUUAUGCGGGGAGAAAGUGAGGGACGUGUCCCUCAUUGCAGGUACCGCAUGAAUAAGGACCGGCUAAUUCCGUG
rnacentral:rRNA from 1 species